rnacentral:rRNA from 1 species
GAUGAACGCUGGCGGCGUGCCUAAUACAUGCAAGUCGAGCGAACGGACGAGAAGCUUGUUUCUCUGAUGUUAGCGGCGGACGGGUGAGUAACACGUGGAUAACCUACCUAUAAGACUGGGAUAACUUCGGGAAACCGGCGCUAAUACCGGAUAAUAUUUUGAACCGCAUGGUUCAAAAGUGAAAGACGGUCUUGCUGUCACUUAUAGAUGGAUCCGCGCUGCAUUAGCUAGUUGGUAAGGUAACGGCUUACCAAGGCAACGAUGCAUAGCCGACCUGAGAGGGUGAUCGGCCACACUGGAACUGAGCCGCGGUCAAGACUCCUACGGGAGGCAGCAGUAGGGAAUCUUCCGCAAUGGGCGAAAGCCUGACGGAGCAACGCCGCGUGAGUGAUGAAGGUCUUCGGAUCGUAAAACUCUGUUAUUAGGUAAGAACAUAUGUGGAAGUAACUGUGCACAUCGUGACGGUACCUAAUCAGAAAGCCACGGCUAACUACGUG